GAGAAAUCUACAGCACAGAGAUUCAGACAUAAAACCUGCAAUUAUUUCAAAGGAGCAGCUCUCUCUCAACAACAAGCUGAGAUAGCCAAUGGUGAAGAUGCUAAGAAAUUGUGUCAACUCAAGCUCAAAUGGCUCUAGAGUUUCUCAAGCAGCAAGCUGGAGAAAACAUAUAUCCUAGAGAUGACACUCCUGUGGCAACACAAUCAAGGCUUCUCCGGUGUGUUUAAAGACAAACACAGCCAGAAAGGACUGCUGUGAGCAGAACUGGAGGGAAAGCAUGAUGCCAGACCAGAACACAUUCAGCAUAAGAUGAAUGUCAACAAGAUCUCCAUCUUGAGGCAUUGGUACAGACUUAAAAAUGUAGUGGACUAUUACGCUUUCAGUUUGUUAUUUUGAAAAUAAAGUAAAGAGAUAUUU